rnacentral:rRNA from 2 species
CGGAAUGAACUUAAGUGGAUUAGUGGCGGACGGGUGAGUAACGCGUGAGUAACCUGCCUUACACAAGGGGAUAGCCGUUGGAAACGACGAAUAAUACCCUAUGAAACUAUCACUUCGCAUGAAGCGAUAGUCAAAGUGUUAGCGGUGUAAGAUGGACUUGCGUCUGAUUAGCUAGUUGGUGAGAAAAAAGCCCACCAAGGCAACGAUCAGUAGCCGGCUUGAGAGAGUGUACGGCCACAUUGGGACUGAGACACGGCCCAGACUCCUACGGGAGGCAGCAGUGGGGAAUUUUGCACAAUGGGGGAAACCCUGAUGCAGCGACGCCGCGCGAUUUAGAAGGCCUUCGGGUUGUAAAAAUCUUUUGUAUAGGAAGAAAAUGACAGUACUAUACGAAUAAGGUCCGGCUAAUUACGUGCCAGCAGCCGCGGUAAUACGUAAGGACCGAGCGUUGUCCGGAAUCAUUGGGCGUAAAGGGUACGUAGGCGGGUCAUUAAGUUAGAAGUCAAAGGCUAUAGCUCAACUAUAGUAAGCUUCUAAAACUGGCGACCUUGAGUAAUGGAAGGGAAAGUGGAAUUCCUAGUGUAGCGGUGGAAUGCGCAGAUAUUAGGAGGAAUACCG